UAUAAUAGAAUGGCACUAGGUAGGUAAACUCAAGUGUGGUCAGCGUUACCCCGUAAGGAAAGGGGGUGAUGCUUAUGUUGACAGUAUUUCAAACGUUAAUGCUGAUGAUUGCAUUUGCUGGUUUGGUGUUGUCAAUCAUAUCUUUUAGAGACAAAAAAUAACCCACCCUUGAGCUUUCCAGGCGAUAGGUGAGUUAUUUCCAACAUCGCUGAUCCCCUUGAUGGGAACCUAGCUAUUGUAUGACUGUUUGGUGUUAGAGCACCGAAC
rnacentral:sRNA from 1 species